UGGGGGAUAUUGCACAAUGGGGGAAACCCUGAUGCAGCGACGCCGCGUGAGUGAAGAAGUAUUUCGGUAUGUAAAGCUCUAUCAGCAGGGAAGAAAAAGACGGUACCUGACUAAGAAGCCCCGGCUAACUACGUCGCC
rnacentral:rRNA from 1 species